UCAAGUGAAGAAGCGCAUACGGUGGAUGCCUUGGCAGUCAGAGGCGAUGAAAGACGUGGUAGCCUGCGAAAAGCUUCGGGGAGUCGGCAAACAGACUGUGAUCCGGAGAUGUCUGAAUGGGGGAACCCAGCCAUCAUAAGAUGGUUAUCUUGUACUGAAUACAUAGGUGCAAGAGGCGAACCAGGGGAACUGAAACAUCUAAGUACCCUGAGGAAAAGAAAUCAACCGAGAUUCCCUUAGUAGUGGCGAGCGAACGGGGACCAGCCCUUAAGUUGUAUUGAGAUUAGCGGAACGUUCUGGAAAGGACGGCCAUAGUGGGUGAUAGCCCUGUACGCGAAAAUCCCUUUGCAAUGAAAUCGAGUAGGACGGGGCACGAGAAACCUUGUCUGAAUAUGGGGGGACCAUCCUCCAAGGCUAAAUACUACUGACUGACCGAUAGUGAACCAGUACCGUGAGGGAAAGGCGAAAAGAACCGCGGAGAGCGGAGUGAAAUAGAUCCUGAAACCGUAUGCGUACAAGCAGUGGGAGCCCACUUUGUUGGGUGACUGCGUACCUUUUGUAUAAUGGGUCAGCGACUUAUUUUCAGUGGCGAGCUUAACCGAAUAGGGGAGGCGUAGCGAAAGCGAGUCUUAAUAGGGCGUCUAGUCGCUGGGAAUAGACCCGAAACCGGGCGAUCUAUCCAUGGGCAGGUUGAAGGUUGGGUAACACUAACUGGAGGACCGAACCGACUACCGUUGAAAAGUUAGCGGAUGACCUGUGGAUCGGAGUGAAAGGCUAAUCAAGCUCGGAGAUAGCUGGUUCUCCUCGAAAGCUAUUUAGGUAGCGCCUCAUGUAUCACUGUAGGGGGUAGAGCACUGUUUCGGCUAGGGGGUCAUCCCGACUUACCAAACCGAUGCAAACUCCGAAUACCUACAAGUGCCGAGCAUGGGAGACACACGGCGGGUGCUAACGUCCGUCGUGAAAAGGGAAACAACCCAGACCGUCAGCUAAGGUCCCAAAGUCAUGGUUAAGUGGGAAACGAUGUGGGAAGGCUUAGACAGCUAGGAGGUUGGCUUAGAAGCAGCCACCCUUUAAAGAAAGCGUAAUAGCUCACUAGUCGAGUCGGCCUGCGCGGAAGAUGUAACGGGGCUCAAACCAUGCACCGAAGCUACGGGUAUCAUCUUUUGAUGAUGCGGUAGAGGAGCGUUCUGUAAGCCUGUGAAGGUGAGUUGAGAAGCUUGCUGGAGGUAUCAGAAGUGCGAAUGCUGACAUGAGUAACGACAAUGGGUGUGAAAAACACCCACGCCGAAAGACCAAGGUUUCCUGCGCAACGUUAAUCGACGCAGGGUUAGUCGGUCCCUAAGGCGAGGCUGAAAAGCGUAGUCGAUGGAAAACAGGUUAAUAUUCCUGUACUUCUGGUUAUUGCGAUGGAGGGACGGAGAAGGCUAGGCCAGCCUGGCGUUGGUUGUCCAGGUUUAAGGUGGUAGGCUGAGAUCUUAGGUAAAUCCGGGAUCUUAAGGCCGAGAGCUGAUGACGAGUGUUCUUUUAGAACACGAAGUGGUUGAUGCCAUGCUUCCAAGAAAAGCUUCUAAGCUUCAGGUAACCAGGAACCGUACCCCAAACCGACACAGGUGGUUGGGUAGAGAAUACCAAGGCGCUUGAGAGAACUCGGGUGAAGGAACUAGGCAAAAUGGCACCGUAACUUCGGGAGAAGGUGCGCCGGUGGAGGUGAAGCAUUUACUGCGUAAGCCCCUGCCGGUCGAAGAUACCAGGCCGCUGCGACUGUUUAUUAAAAACACAGCACUCUGCAAACACGAAAGUGGACGUAUAGGGUGUGACGCCUGCCCGGUGCCGGAAGGUUAAUUGAUGGGGUUAGCGCAAGCGAAGCUCUUGAUCGAAGCCCCGGUAAACGGCGGCCGUAACUAUAACGGUCCUAAGGUAGCGAAAUUCCUUGUCGGGUAAGUUCCGACCUGCACGAAUGGCGUAACGAUGGCGGCGCUGUCUCCACCCGAGACUCAGUGAAAUUGAAAUCGCUGUGAAGAUGCAGUGUAUCCGCGGCUAGACGGAAAGACCCCGUGAACCUUUACUAUAGCUUUGCACUGGACUUUGAAUUUGCUUGUGUAGGAUAGGUGGGAGGCUUUGAAGCGUGGACGCCAGUCUGCGUGGAGCCAAUCUUGAAAUACCACCCUGGCAACUUUGAGGUUCUAACUCAGGUCCGUUAUCCGGAUCGAGGACAGUGUAUGGUGGGUAGUUUGACUGGGGCGGUCUCCUCCUAAAGAGUAACGGAGGAGUACGAAGGUGCGCUCAGACCGGUCGGAAAUCGGUCGUAGAGUAUAAAGGCAAAAGCGCGCUUGACUGCGAGACAGACACGUCGAGCAGGUACGAAAGUAGGUCUUAGUGAUCCGGUGGUUCUGUAUGGAAGGGCCAUCGCUCAACGGAUAAAAGGUACUCCGGGGAUAACAGGCUGAUACCGCCCAAGAGUUCAUAUCGACGGCGGUGUUUGGCACCUCGAUGUCGGCUCAUCACAUCCUGGGGCUGAAGCCGGUCCCAAGGGUAUGGCUGUUCGCCAUUUAAAGUGGUACGCGAGCUGGGUUUAGAACGUCGUGAGACAGUUCGGUCCCUAUCUGCCGUGGACGUUUGAGAUUUGAGAGGGGCUGCUCCUAGUACGAGAGGACCGGAGUGGACGAACCUCUGGUGUUCCGGUUGUCACGCCAGUGGCAUUGCCGGGUAGCUAUGUUCGGAAAAGAUAACCGCUGAAAGCAUCUAAGCGGGAAACUUGCCUCAAGAUGAGAUCUCACUGGAACCUUGAGUUCCCUAAAGGGCCGUCGAAGACUACGACGUUGAUAGGUUGGGUGUGUAAGCGCUGUGAGGCGUUGAGCUAACCAAUACUAAUUGCCCGUGAGGCUUGACCAU
rnacentral:rRNA from 1 species